rnacentral:rRNA from 1 species
AUACGGAGGGUGCAAGCGUUAUCCGGAUUCACUGGGUUUAAAGGGUGCGUAGGUGGGUUGGUAAGUCAGUGGUGAAAUCUCCGAGCUUAACUUGGAAACUGCCAUUGAUACUAUCAGUCUUGAAUACCGUGGAGGUCAGCGGAAUAUGUCAUGUAGCGGUGAAAUGCUUAGAUAUGACAUAGAACACCAAUUGCGAAGGCAGCUGGCUACUCGAAUAUUGACACUGAGGCACGAAAGCGUGGGGAUCAAACAGGAUUAGAUACCCUGGUAGUCCACGCCCUAAACUAUGGAUACUCGACAUUUGCGAUACACUGUAAGUGUCUGAGCGAAAGCAUUAAGUAUCCCACCUGGGAAGUACGAUCGCAAGAUUGAA